rnacentral:lncRNA from 1 species
AUAGGAAGUGUUUUUAUUAAGCAUUGUGAGUUUGCUUUGCUUUGUUUUUAAUUUCAGGAGACUCAGUCAUAGAAACAGCUGCUUCUUUCAUACAAGACUUGCCCGGGAGCAAAUCAAUGCAUUUAAUUUGAUUCUGGAACUAGCUGCACAGUUAAUAAUGCCUCAAGACUUGCCCCUGGAUUUUCAAGUAUAGAUGAGAACCAGUUCAGCGUCCGAUUCAAGUCUCCUUGAC